GAAUUUACAGAGUCCAAGACUGUAAAUAUUAUAUCAGACUCGUGGUUUGAAGAUGGUGCGACUUUCUGGCCAAACUAUAAAAGCGAUGAACGCAUCAACAGAGCUGUUCGAAAACAUGAGGUGCCAGGAUCAGACUGGAAAAUGUAUGACGUUCGAGUCCUCUCAAGAGCUGGCUCAUCUUUGGUGAUACCGACUCUGAAAGUGAGCCAGAGGAGAGGAACAAUACAAUACCCACUUAUCUCUCCCUCACUCCAGCACCACCUAUUGCUCCACCGACUCCUAACUUCUCAGCUAGACCUCUGCCAGAUCCGAAUAAUGCUGAACUUCUUCAUUUCACUGCGGCUGCACCACUUGUUCCCAUCCCUCUACCUUGCAUGCCUUCAAGUCCUCCAUGCCAGAUUUCUGCUGGACCUCUGCCUGAUCUGAGGCAAUGUGAUCGUGGUAGUUACACAGCUCCAGUGGCACUUGUUCCUACCCCUACGUCUCGCAUGCCCUCAAGUCCUAGGCGCCGGAUCACUGCCACUCCUCUCACAAAUGACUAUCAAGGCCAUUGUUUUGUCCCCACUUUUAGACUGGGGAGGACUGGCACUGGACCUGUUCCUUGCUCUGCGGCUGAGCUGCACAUUCUAACUUUGCUGGAACAUAUCAAGGAGCAGCAAAUGCAGCUGGCUGCUGCUGUAAAUAACAUUGCUGCAAGAAUGGGGACGGAAACUCCUAUG